AUUGAACGCUGGCGGAAUGCUUUACACAUGCAAGUCGAACGGUAGAGGGGGCAACCCCUUGAGAGUGGCGAACGGGUGAGUAAUAUAUCGGAACGUGCCAGUCGUGGGGGAUAACGUAGCGAAAGUUACGCUAAUACCGCAUACGAUCUAAGGAUGAAAGCGGGGGACCGUAAGGCCUCGCGCGAUUGGAGCGGCCGAUAUCAGAUUAGGUAGUUGGUGAGGUAAUGGCUCACCAAGGCUAUGACGCCUAACUGGUUUGAGAGGAUGAUCAGUCACACUGGAACUGAGACACGGUCCAGACUCCUACGGGAGGCAGCAGUGGGGAAUAUUGCACAAUGGACGAAAGUCUGAUGCAGCAACGCCGCGUGGAGGAUGACACAUUUCGGUGCGUAAACUCCUUUUAUAUAGGAAGAUAAUGACGGUACUAUAUGAAUAAGCACCGGCUAACUCCGUG
rnacentral:rRNA from 1 species